GUGGGGAAUCUUGCGCAAUGGGCGAAAGCCUGACGCAGCCAUGCCGCGUGAAUGAUGAAGGUCUUAGGAUUGUAAAAUUCUUUCACCGGGGACGCUAAUGACGGUACCCGGAGAAGAAGCUCCGGCUAACUUCGUGCCAGCAGCCGCGGUAAUACGAAGGGGGAUAGCGUUGCUCGGAAUUACUGGGCGUAAAGGGCGCGUAGGCGGACAGCUUAGUCAGAGGUGAAAGCCCAGGGCUCAACCUUGGAAUUGCCUUUGAUACUGGCUGUCUUGAGUUUGGGAGAGGUGAGUGGAACUCCGAGUGUAGAGGUGAAAUUCGUAGAUAUUCGGAAGAACACCAGUGGCGAAGGCGACUCACUGGCCCAAUACUGACGCUGAGGCGCGAAAGCGUGGGGAGCAAACAGGAUUAGAAACCCUAGUAGUCC
rnacentral:rRNA from 1 species